rnacentral:rRNA from 1 species
CNGCCUUUCNGGNGNGAUUCUGUGGANGUGUGAGGAGCUNAACGCCUUCAUGCCUGGNUUUUCCUGGNCCUUGGGUGUACUUGCCCGUGUGGUUGGUUAACAUCAAUUUUGGUUGUCAUAAAAUGNCUGGAGGAAUGUAGCUUCGAUCUNGUAUUGAAGUGUUAUAGCCUUCGGUAGAUGUGAUGAUCGAGAUUGAGGAUUGCAACGGAUACCCUUCGGGGCUACCUGUCUGAUCUCUGAUCGUUGCUCUGGUGCCGAAAGCNUGCUUACGGUUAUCAAAGUCGAUGGUCAAUAGGUUAGAACGGGUUAAAUUCGUUAAGGAUGUUGACGUA